GGGCAUAUGGUGUAGCUGGUUAUCACGCCCGCUUAGCAUAAUCAUGUUACCUGCGGGCGGUCUCCGGUUCGAGUCCGGAUUUGUCCA
rnacentral:tRNA from 1 species